AGAGUUUGAUCAUGGCUCAGAACGAACGCUGGCGGCAGGCCUAACACAUGCAAGUCGAACGCGCGUAGCAAUACGCGAGUGGCGCACGGGUGAGUAACACGUGGGAAUCUACCCAGAGGUUCGGAAUAACCGCGGGAAACUGCGGCUAAUACCGGAUGCCCCCUACGGGGGAAAGAUUUAUCGCCUUUGGACGAGCCCGCGUCCGAUUAGCUAGUUGGUGAGGUAAUGGCUCACCAAGGCUACGAUCGGUAGCUGGUCUGAGAGGACGACCAGCCACACUGGAACUGAGACACGGUCCAGACUCCUACGGGAGGCAGCAGUGGGGAAUAUUGGGCAAUGGAGGCAACUCUGACCCAGCCAUGCCGCGUGGGUGACGAAGGUCUUCGGAUUGUAAAGCCCUUUCGGCGGGGACGAUGAUGACGGUACCCGCAGAAGAAGCCCCGGCUAACUUCGUGCCAGCCGCCGCGGUAAUAC
rnacentral:rRNA from 1 species